UGGGCUUGUUUUUGAAGCUUCACUCUGUCUCGCGAGAGUUGGAUCUCUCUUUGGAGUUUAGCGCUUCCCACGCGUUUAAAUAUAAAGGCACCAAACAGAAUGCCACUUUUUUUUUUUACUGCAGCGCUCAGCAUCUGCAUCUGCUUUUAAUCAUGACACCAUCUACCUCAACAAGCAACACUUUUAUUUUGCUGUUUUAUCUGAUUUUUACAAUUCUACACGUCAAGGUUAUUGGUUAUAACGGAUGUUACAAGACAUCCAAACAGGGAAUCUCGAGAUGUCAACGCUGUACUCAAGAGUGUUCUGAGAAUAGAAAUGAGAUGGAAGUUACUCCAUGCACUCAGGACAACAAUAGAUCAUGCUUCUGUAAACCAGGUUUUUACUGUACAAAAGGAAACGAUUAUGUCACACACUGCCAUAAACCAUGUGUUCCCUGUGGGAAGGGUACAUUCUCCAGCACACCCUCUCUGGGAGCCUGCAAGCCUCAUAAAAAUUGUGGUAAGUUGGGGAUGAUGACACACCAAGAGGGCACAACGAAACAGGACAGACAGUGUGUGAAUGUCACCACAGUGAUGCCAUCCUUGUCCACUACCACAAAUAUCAUUACUACAUUCCCUAUCACUAACACUUCCAUCCCCUGGACAGGGGUCACUGCACCACUCAUAGACACGUCCGAGGAAAGCCAGUCCCAUUGGCUGCUGCUAUUAAUCUUAAUGUUGAUAAUCUUGUUCAUGGCUGGAUUCUGUAUGCUGAUGAAAAACGGGGCAAAGAAAACCUUUUUAAAAUGGCAUGGUUUAAUAAACAGAGGACAUGAAGAUCAUCAACUCUUGAGUCAAACUGCAGGUGAUCAUCAAAUUUCGUCCAAUUCCCAAUCCCACACCUUGGAGAUAGAGAUACCUCUCGGCAGUGAUGACAGAGAGGUCAAAGGUCAGAGUACGGGGCUGACGCCCCAAUCUGGGGCUGUGCAGCAGGUCACAAUGGAGCACAAUGGGAAGGGUGAGAACGUCAGCAAUACUGUUGGGUCCAUCUACAUCUACUCUCCUGGAAUGGUGAUUUUGGGCUCCAACUCGGGUGAUAAAAAGGAAGAGGCAGGAGUUUGCGAAGAAGGCGUUCCCCUCAUCAGCAGACCACAGCAAGAGUCAAAUCCACCCUCGCAAGAGAUCAGAAUAAAAAUAAGUGCACAGGAAGAGGCCGAGGAGGAACUGAACUUGAGUUUUCCUGUGCCGGCAACUGGAAAGUGAGAACUCGAAUGUGGUUUCUUGCAUCUUUCAUGAUGGCCUUUAGGAAGAUUCCAGGUUUGAAUCACAAGGCUGAAAAUCACAAGUGGCCAGAUAUAAGAUUCCUGGUAAAGCAUAACAUCAGCAAUGGCCAAGUCAUGGUUUCAGUUCCAGAGAAACAUGUACGCUGGCAAAAUGUACAGGCUACCUUGAUUGCACUGUAUGUCGAAUACGGAAUGCGCAGAUGUACAAGAUGGAAAACGCUGAGUAAUAACUUUUGCUUUCUUGCACAUCAAGGAAAAGAUUUAUGCUUAAUUUAAGUUGGUCAGUUUUUUGAAAUGCACUUGUCUGAAUUGCUGCUGCAGCGAAAAUGAGAAAAACACAUGCAUGAAGACUGUGUACAGGAGGUACAGACGAAAGGGUGAGAAAAAUGCCCUCAAAGGUGUUAUGAGUUUUCAAAAUGAAUAUCCUAUAAGACAGAGGCAGCAUAACUGAAAUGCACAUGAUGUGUAUGAAUUGUUUUAUUGUUUAAGCGAGUAGUUGAGAACCUAACAUCUGCGUCUGUAUGUUUCUAAUCAGACUUUUGUUCUACUAUGUGGGUGUUUCAUAUGCAUGUCUAAAAAUACCCAACCUCACCUUCGGAAAGAAGGUGUCUGAUUUGACUGUUGUAGGAGGUCUGGUCGGGACAGACUGUGUUUACAGCACAUGUUCAGAAUGACAUUUCUUCAUUCAUCUCACUUUUUUUUUUUGCUUUGUUUGC
ensembl:lncRNA uncharacterized LOC107592861